rnacentral:misc_RNA from 1 species
UUUCCGUAGGUGAACCUGCGGAAGGAUCAUUAUCGUGAUAUCCAUACCAACCCUUGUGAACUGUGAUGUCGUGUGGGAUGUGCCAAGAUUCGUUUUGGUACCGCCUUUAUCGGUGAUGAGCAAUCAUUCAUCGACACACGUGUUUUGUGAUUCUAUACACGUUUUAUACCGCUUCUGAGCACCGCGAUAUCUGAUGUAUCGCGUCUUUAAAGCAACUAAAACUCUUGACAGUGGAUAUCUUGGCUCUC